UACAGAGGUCUCAAGCGUUGUUCGGAUUCAUUGGGCGUAAAGGGUGUGUAGGUGGCGCGCUAAGUCGGGUGUGAAAUUUCGGAGCUUAACUCCGAAACUGCAUUCGAUACUGGCGUGCUUGAGGACUGGAGAGGAGACUGGAAUUCCUGGUGUAGCGGUGAAAUGCGCAGAUAUCAGGAGGAACACCGGUGGCGAAGGCGGGUCUCUGGGCCGAAAUUGACGCUGAGGAGCGAAAGCGUGGGGAGCAAACAGG
rnacentral:rRNA from 1 species